ACACUGAUGGUGAAACGGUUAUCAUCCUUGCCUUCCAAGCGUGAGAAACUCUUACGUAAGCAAGGGGUGAGGGUUCGAUCCCCUCUCAGUGUA